rnacentral:rRNA from 1 species
GACGAACGCUGGCGGCGCGCUUAACACAUGCAAGUCGAGCGAAGCGGCGGACGGGUGAGUAACACGGGAGUAACCUGCCUUCGACAUUGGGAUAGCCUCGGGCAACCGGGACUAAUACAAAAUGGUCUAAGAUGGACUCGCGUCCCAUUAGCUAGUUGGUGGGUAACGGCCCACCAAGGCGACGAUGGGUAGCCGUCCUGCGAGGCUGAACGGCCACAUUGGAACUGAGGAACGGUCCAAACUCUACGGGAGGCAGCAGUGGGGAAUAUUGCACAAUGGAGGGAACUCUUAUGCAGCGACGCCGCGGGAACGAAGAAGGCUUUCGAGUCGUAAAGUUCUUUUAUAUGGGAAGCGGUACCAUAAGAAAAAGCCCCGGCUAACUACGUGCCAGCCGCCGCGGUAAUAC